rnacentral:misc_RNA from 1 species
UCCUUUAUAUUUUAAUUGUUCUUUUUUCAUCAUCUCAAUGUGUGCUUAUAAUAAUAUAUCAACUCAUAAUAGUAUUUACAUAUGCGGUGUGUCAAUACGAAAACAUUUUUGAAUAUUUAUAAAAAAAAAUGAGAAAUCCCCUAUCUAGUAAAUGAAGAGAAUUGUAUGAACGUUUGACGUUAGAGGGCGCUAUCAGGGAUCCGUGUUUGGAAUGUGUAUAUUUCAAUCAGGGAAGGAUAUCCCUCCAGUGGUUCGUCUAAGCCUCCGGACACUACAGUAUUUAGUGAUCCCCUUGCUGUCCUUGGCCAUCCUUGUCAUUGGAGCUCUACAUUCCUCUGGAGAUUAUUGUGGAGCACAACCAUAUUUACCACUAUGGCAUAUCAUUGCUGGCUCCUCUGGACUCGUCAUCCCGAUACUCUACCUCCUCUUUGAUGAAAUUAAUCCAAGGCUCUCUCGAAGAUUCCCUUCUCUUAGCGAGUUUUUUGAUAAUGCUGUCGUGUUUUUGUUGCCUCUUUAUUUGAUAUUUGAGGUGUCAUGGCUUAUCACGGGCACAAUUUGGGUCUUUGGAUCUUCAUCAAUCAGUGAUCCAAAUGCGUGUGAUCACACACUAUAUGUCUUUAGUUUAGUGGUCAUUAUUAAUUUUUGGAUUCACUUAUUAACUCCACUAAUAUUUAUGAUAACACUAUGUUGCACAAGAAUAUUUCCUUUUUGUGGCUACUCUGCGUAUUGGAAGAUCGCCAAAACCGCCAUAGACAAUUGGACAAGGAGAACAAGAUUAUUGAUUGCAUCAACUUUGUCUUUACCUCUUGGUAUUUCUAUGAUAUCGGUUGGGAUAAUGUCCCUUAGUCAUUGUACAACAGAGUCGGAAGAUAAAUUAUCAGAUUCUACAUCACGGAUACCAAUUUGGCUGAUUGUUUCAGGGGUAGCCCUUUUAUUUGUGCCCACAAUUUAUUUGGUAUAUGAUAAAUAUUGUAAACACGAAGACUCUGGUCCCCUGAUUAAGGCACUGUCUCAAACUGUUGUGAUUACUUAUUUGCUUAUUGGGCUUGCUUGGGCUAUUGUGGGAUUUUUAUGGGUCUUUGGUUCGGUUAGCCAUGAAAUAUGUGGUUCAGACUCUGCAACUUAUCGCUUCGCCUUCUCUACGCUUAUUAUCCUUAAUGUGAUUAUGGACUUAUGGAUCUGUUUUAAGAUUUGUGUUGUCCUUUAUUGGGCCUUUCUUUCAGAUGAUUAAAUUCAUUCAUUGGUAUUAUACUAUAUUAUAAACAUAUCUAUCCAUUCUAUGUGAUCAAAUUAUUUUUUUCGAUCAUUAUUUUAUCAGGUCUCAAAUAUUUUUAUUUUUCUCAUUAAACAAAGGCGAAGUAAGUCAAAGUGACAAAAGAGCCUAUUCGAAUUUGAUAGUUCUGAAUAUUAUAAUUAAUGGUUUUGCACAAUUGACUGAGUUCAAUUUUAUUUAUGCUUAACAUACGGUUUCGUGGAAACAAAUCAUUUGAAAUGAUAAGAUAAUUUAUUUAUAUUGGCGCAUUUGAUUGUUUUAUUUUGUAUUAUCGUGAGCACAAAGUAACUCUACAAGGAUUAUAAUUAAUACCAAAAAUUGUCUAUUUAAAAAAAACACACAAAUAUAUUUAUUUGACAAAUAUUAUGUCAAAUUGACUGAUUGAUCAUUUUAGGAAAUAAAUAUUUUUUAAAUUAAAUAAUAUUUAGCUAUGAGUAAUUGCCCUUUAAGCUCACUAAAUACAUAUUAUAUUGUAUUUUAUCUAUUAAUUAUUAAUUUCUAAAAAAUGAAAAAAUACAUAUUCAAGUAGCUGGAUUACUCUAUCUUACUAUCGUCAAAAUAUUCAUAUAUAUUUUAUUUUUUUUGCAUAAUUUUUAUCCUGAGGAAUAAAAUGUUUAUUCAUUUUUUUAAUCUUUGGAAAGGUGUUAUUUAAAAGUAUAUAUAUUUUAUUAUUUACUAUCAUCAUCAAAUGAAGAAUACUUUCAUCAAUGGAAAAUAUCUUGAAUGAAUUGGUUCAAAAAUGAAUAUAUGUGUUUGUUUUAUUUAAUACAAUUUUUUUAAUCAUAAUUAUUUUUCAAAUAAAUUAUAUUUAUUAUCCUUAUUACUCGUAUGUUGUUGGUGUUUUUAUAUCCUUUAAUGAAUCGUUAUUAAUUAAUGUCGUCAACUUGGUUGCUGCUAAAAAUAAGACUUCUUAAAAAUAUGGAAUCUUGAGCCAUAAACAGGGAAUUUAAAGUAAAUGCUUUUAGACUCAAUAUACGUCUACAAGGGUUUCUCUCCUGUUUCCCAGUAAAAUCCUACAUUUUAUUAUAUCAUAAUAUCAGCUUCAUUUGAUAAUAAAUAAUUAAUUAAUCCCCAAUAAAGUACUUUAAUGUUUUGAAUUAUGAAAUUGUAACUAUAACAACUAUCUUAUACGUUCGUAGUCCUUUAUUUAUACCCCAAACAUAUAUUGAUAUUUAUAGGUAUAUAUAACAUUAUACUUUGUAUUCAUAUAUAAAAGUAUUGAUAAAAUACACGUUUGAUACUUCAGAUACUUGGAAGAAGGGAAUAAUUACUAUGUAAUCAACCCAAAAAACUCGCACAUUGUUUAUGAAUGGGUCGAAUCAGGUUAAGGAAUUUAAAAUAAAGUACUAUUAUAUGGUUAGGACUGGCAUAAAAUUCAUUUUUUCUUAUAAAAAUAAAUAAUUAAAUUUUAAUUAUUUACUAAUGGGAUCCCGUAAUUGGAAAAUUAGUUAUCUCGGGGAAUGAAAAACCUGUAUUGUUACUGCAUCACCCAUCUUUUUUGUUAAGUCAGAUAAAGUAAUAGAUAAAUUAGUUCUGUGUUCCUAUGUCUUUUUAUAUUUAUGUAUUACCAUCCGUGUCCCUACGAUAUAACAGAAACUUUUGUUCUAGUCAUUAUUAAUAUUAUAGUGAUAUGGAAUAAAGUGGAUUCAACCGUCAUAAUAUCAUGAUUACUUUGCUGUAAAUAGAUCAUUAUCAAUAAAGUUAUUCAGAUUUUCUUUAUCUUAAAGCUCACCGGUUCAAAUACAUAUACUUCUUUAAGUCGAUCAACAUAGUUUUCUUCAUCAACUUCUAUGCUUUGAUGUGGAAUUUUUGAAAUGAUGUCAAUCAAUGCCGCACCAAGACUGUAUAUCUAAGUGAUAGUGGAAAUAAGUUAUUUUUAAGAGAUUAAUGCCUUGGGCUACCAUGGAUUUAAUUGGCAGGAAAAACCUGCCGCUAUCAGAUUUUCUGUAACUUAAAUUUACUAGAUUAGGAAAACUCGAACUUGCUCAGUAAAGAGGAACAACUCUAAUACGGCGCUAGUGUCGUAUUCUAAUUUUUAUUUCAACAGCACUCUCCCUUUUUCUUUUCCUCCUUUUCCGGUGAAGGCAAGAGGUUGUAAUCCAAGAUGCAAAUCUUCGUCAAAACUUUGACGGGCAAGACCAUUACCCUUGAGGUCGAACCUUCAGAUACCAUCGAAAA